rnacentral:rRNA from 1 species
GAUGAACGCUGGCGGCGUGCCUAAUACAUGCAAGUCGAGCGAACGGACGAGAAGCUUGCUUUUCUGAUGUUAGCGGCGGAUGGGUGAGUAACACGUGGAUAACCUACCUAUAAGACUGGGAUAACUUCGGGAAACCGGAGCUAAUACCGGAUAAUAUUUUGAACCGCAUGGUUCAAAAGUGAAAGACGGUCUUGCUGUCACUUAUAGAUGGAUCCGCGCUGCAUUAGCUAGUUGGUAAGGUAACGGCUUACCAAGGCAACGAUGCAUAGCCGACCUGAGAGGGUGAUCGGCCACACUGGAACUGAGACACGGUCCAGACUCCUACGGGAGGCAGCAGUAGGGAAUCUUACGCAAUGGGCGAAAGCCUGACGGAGCAACGCCGCGUGAGUGAUGAAGGUCUUCGGAUCGUAAAACUCUGUUAUUAGGGAAGAACAUAUGUGUAAGUAACUGUGCACAUCUUGACGGUACCUAAUCAGAAAGCCACGGCUAACUACGUG